rnacentral:lncRNA from 1 species
CGUGUCAGUGUUGCGUUUCACUGCUUUAAAGAGUUUAUCUUGGUUUGGAUGAGCGACACCUGCAUCUCAGCGUCAGCCAACACUUUCUGUUUUUGGAGCUCAAGCCCCUUCAAAGAAGCGGCGACACGUUUCCUUUCACGUUCAUUCCUCAAUGCGUCGGCC